UGACUGACAACUUUUAUUCUCAGUUGGGUCAGCCAGGGCGAGCCUAUUGCCAUGGAAUGAUAACAGGUCAGGAAUCUGCACUGGAACAGAACAUUUAAUGCCGCCACUACAUUGUAGCGUGGCUGCUUAAACAUCCUGUGUAACAAGUUCUUCCUAUACAACUUGCACCUUCCACAGAACCAGAACACAGUUGCUGACACCCACAGGCCAGAAGCAGCACAGGCUGAAGACAGGAAGAUAGAAAGGGCGAAGUGAACUGAUCAGUGAAAGAGUGAAGGGACACACACAUCACACCAACAACAGAGAAUGCAGAAGCACUGUUAGCCGCAGAGAUGACAGAUUGCUGGAGACAAGAUAUUUUGGUUGUAAUAAUUGAAUCCUGCUUACAAAGGAACUCUGCACUUGAAAUGGUUAAUUCCUGUCCUUUUGACAGACUAAGUGUGGAGAGACACUUAAUGGACAUCAUGGGCAAUUUCCAUCAUCCUCUUGGAAUUCUAGAACAGAGUGCGGAAACCAGGAGAAUAAGGUACCUGCUGUGUGGACUGCUGACAGAGGGUCCAGGCUGUGAGACACUACAUUUGCCCCGUGGCUGUUUGCAAUGAACAGGGGGUAAAGAAAGAAGAAUGUUCAGUCCAGGCAAAUAAAGACAAGCUACUGAUGAAAUCAAAUUAAAAGUGCAGCAAAGGAAACAUAAAAUCAAAUGAAGUGACCAAUACCCAUGAACCAAGGAAACUGGCUUUUCUUCUGCUUCGAGCGGAAUAUGAAAAUGCUUUGAACAGACAAAAGAAACUUGACAGAAUGUUUUAAUCAUUAAAAUAAAAA